UGAUAGAGCAAUCAGGAACAGCAAACCUUUUUUUUAUGCAUCUGUCACAGGGACUCUCAAAUGGAUUCUCACUUUGGUUUCAGGUUUACCUCCAGAUGUGAUGUCUUCAGUCUGCUGUCAGUAAUGCAGUAAUCUCCAAAUGAAGCCUUUGAAAUUGGCUCUCCUUCAGGAUCCUAGUUUAGAAGAGCCCUUGAUUUCUGUUUUAGAAACUUGAGAGACAAGAAUACACAUGUGAAUAAGAGGAAGACAAAAGAAAAAAGAAAGCAGAAAAGGUAGUAAAUGUCAGCCUUCAGAAAGCACCAGAAUCAUCCAAAUAAGUGUAAUGACUCACAUUUAAAUUCCUUUUGAAAACCACACUACA